UACGUAGGGUCCGAGCGUUGUCCGGAAUUACUGGGCGUAAAGCGCGCGCAGGCGGCCCGCGAGGUGUCACGUGAAAGCCCCGGGCUCAACCCGGGAGGGUCGUGGCAAACCGGCGGGCUUGAGGCCGGUAGAGGUGGGUGGAACUCCUGGUGGAGUGGUGAAAUGCGUAGAGAUCAGGAAGAACACCAGUGGCGAAGGCGGCUCACUGGCCCGGUACUGACGCUGAGGCGCGAAAGCGUGGGGAGCAAACAGG
rnacentral:rRNA from 1 species